rnacentral:lncRNA from 1 species
AUUUUUCAAAUUAUUAUUAAUUUUGACGGAAUAGAUCAUAGCAAUUUUAAUAAAGUCAUGUCUAUUUAUAUAGAGCCUUAACUGCUUCCGUCAUAUACGUCUAAUUCAUUUUGCUUGAUGAAUGAAGCAGAUAACUAGCUAUCUCUUUCUCAAAAAAAUAUAUAUAUAUAUAUAUAGAUUACAGUUAACUAUAGUCCAAU